CGCAAGCGCAGGCCGAGACGCCGCAGGUCGAGUACCGGGUGGCAAAGCAGCUGGCCCGGGCCGUGGAAGGUGGCCAGGCCACCGCGGCCUGUGACGCGCACCUCGGCGCCCAAGGCCCGUAGCCGCGCAGUUUCCUCGGGCGUCAGGCCGCCGCGCAGCCCGGCCGUAUACACGGGCCCCGCGGGCUCGCAGAGCAGGAGCGCGCCCGCCUCAGUCCCCGACGGGGCCUCAAUGCCUGGCUCGGCCUGCAGCCGCCGCAGCCAGCGGUCCUGCAGCCCCAGUAGCUCGGCGUACGGCACCCGACCCAGGCGCACCAACCGAACGGCGGGUUGCCGCAUCGUGCCCACCGUUGCGUCCGCGGGGCCCCGCCCUCUCCGUGGGCCUGGGGGCGUGGCCUGAGGGGCGGGGACUCGGGGGCACACCCCGAGCCGCAGCUCCCAGGUGCGUGUUAAAAGCUGGAGGGGGGAUAUGUGAUCCCAGGACCAAAAGCGCGGGGCCAGACUCAUCGGUUCAUUCAACAACCAGUAUUUAGUGCCUGCUGUGUUCUGCAGGCCCUGCCAUAGGCGCUUGAUACAGCGGUGCAUAGCGUAUGAGAAAGAUCUGUCCUGGCUGAGCAUCCGUAAUAUAAAAAUCUGAAAUCUGAAAUGCUCCAAAAUCCUAAACUUUUUGAGUGCUGACAUUAUGCCACAAAUGGAAAAUUUCAUACCUGACCUUAUGUGAGUUGCAGUCAAAACACAGGUGCACAACACCCAGUUCAUGCAACAUCCCCAGUGGGAAAAAAGACCCCCCCAGCUCUCUUCUGCUGCAGUUUUUCUGCUCACACCUGGAUUUCCCCAUGCAUUCCCACAAAAAGUAAUUAAAUGGCAUGCGUGCAGGCUGGACACGCCAACAACAGGUUUCCCACAAUGCCCCACAUGGGGCCAAGACCUGUGUGCAUUACUCACUGCAUUUUUUUGCUUAUUCUCUGCUGUGUGGUAUAAAUAUAUUGUUGAAAAUGUCAAAAAGACCUAAAGAUACCCCUGUGAAUAUCAGUGAUAAGAAAAAGAGGAAGCAUUUAUGUUUAUCUAUAGCACAGAAAGUCAAGUUGUUGGAGAAACUGGACAGUGGUGUAAGUGUGAAACAUCUUACGGAAGAGUAUGGUGUUGGAAUGACCACCAUAUAUGACCUGAAGAAACAGAAGGAUAAACUGUUGAAGUUUUAUGCUGAAAGUGAUGAGCAGAUAUUAAUGAAAAAUAGAAAAACACUUCAUAAAGCUAAAAAUGAAGAUCUUGAUCGUGUAUUGAAAGAGUGGAUCCGUCAGCGUCGCAGUGAACACAUGCCACUUAAUGGUAUGCUGAUCAUGAAACAAGCAAAGAUAUAUCACAAUGAACUAAAAAUUGAGGGGAACUGUGAAUAUUCAACAGGCUGGUUGCAGAAAUUUAAGAAAAGACAUGGCAUUAAAUUUUUAAAGACUUGUGGCAAUAAAGCAUCUGCUGGUCAUGAAGCAACAGAGAAGUUUACUGGCAAGUUCAGUAAUGAUGAUGAACAAGAUGGUAACUUUGAAGGAUUCAGUAUGUCAAGUGAGAAAAAAAUAAUGUCUGACCUCCUUACAUAUACAAAAAAUAUACAUCCAGAGACUGUCAGUAAGCUGGAAGAAGAGGAUAUCAAAGAUGUUUUUAACAGUAAUAAUGAGGCUCCAGUUGUUCAUUCAUUGUCCAAUGGUGAAGUAACAAAAAUGGUUCUGAAUCAAGAUGAUCAUGAUGAUAAUGAUAAUGAAGAUGAUGUUAACACUGCAGAAAAAGUGCCUAUAGACGACAUGGUAAAAAUGUGUGAUGGGCUUAUUAAAGGACUAGAGCAGCAUGCAUUCAUAACAGAGCAAGAAAUCAUGUCAGUUUAUAAAAUCAAAGAGAGACUUCUAAGACAAAAAGCAUCAUUAAUGAGGCAGAUGACUCUGAAAGAAACAUUUAAAAAAGCCAUCCAGAGGAAUGCUUCUUCCUCUCUACAGGACCCACUUCUUGGUCCCUCAACUGCUUCUGAUGCUUCUUCUCACCUAAAAAUAAAAUAAAAUACAGUGUACAGUAACCUUUUAGUCAAAACAGCAUCAUACUUGGAAACUGAAAGCCUACUGUUAUUUGUUAUUGUUGCUUAACAGCUGAUACAGGUAUUCUGGUGACACUACUGUGCUGGCUUACUUAACCUGAAUACACUAUUUUUUUCGUUGUAUUACUGGUAUGUCAUUUUUUUUACUGUUAAGUACUUAUGUGUGAAUAAGUGUAAAAAAAUGAUUGCUUAUCGGUAACAUAUAAAUUCAGAAUCAGGAAUGAUGGUGAUGCCAAACAAUCACAGAUCGUCCACAUGGGUGGCGGAGAUGUUAACACCUUUGCUUUCUGAUGGUUCAGUGUAUCCACACUUUGUUUCAUGCCAAAAUUAUUUAAAAUAUUGUAUGAAAUUACCUUCAGGCUAUGUGUAUAAAGUAUAUAUGAAACAUAAAUGAACUUUAUGUUUAAACUGGGA
ensembl:lncRNA LIPT2-AS1 LIPT2 antisense RNA 1